GAACAUCUAUAUAAGGUGCGCGGGCGGAGAAGUGAGAGAUACGAUCUCUUCAGCGUGAGAAGAAACGGGAUGCUGGGAGGGAACGGCGGCAGCGACGACGACGACGACGAGCGGUCUCCAGAACUGACCUGAGGUGUGGGGGGGCCGGGGUGCGUCGAGUUCGGGCUGAGGUGUGAGGGAAGAGAGACGGCCCGAGCUAGUGUGAUCAGUCUGCCUGCCUCUGUGAUCCCCCGCAGCACUGGCUGGAAGUCUGCCGCGUGUCAGUGAGGUGAGAAACGCUGCU
rnacentral:lncRNA from 1 species